AAGAUAUACAAUAUCCCGUAUAUUCAAAACAAAGAUGAUCUUAAAAACAUCCUUAAUGCCUCUCAGGUUACCUCUAUUUCUAACAAGCAUCCUGUCUUUCAAAAUCUUGCGCACUGUCGACUUGGCGUGUAUCUCCAUUUUCAUUCAUCUAUUAAAUUAAAAUUAAAUUAAUUUUAAAUAUUUGUGAUACAAGGAAAACAAAAUUAUAUUUUUAAAAAUAUAUGUCGUAACUUGAACGUGUUCGCGUUACUUUCAACUAUCACGAUCGAUCCUAACCUCACUUUCGCCUCGUACCGAAAAAUAUCGCUACUUUAUAUUUCGUUUCGUAUAAAGGCUGUUUUAUGAAGAAAAAAAAGAGAGAAAAGAAAAGUUGAGAUUCUUUGAGAAAGAAGCACAACGUGUGGUGGUGGACCGUUUGAUAUACAAACGAGAGGUGGGGCUGCUGGAAAAAAGAUACGAUCGAUCAUUCCGAAACGAUAGCUCUCGAGACUUUAGUUACACGCAAUGCUUUGACACGUUGCAAAUGAGACAUCGCUGCAAAUGGUCAAUACUUUUCUCUCUCUCUCUCUCUCUUUCCUUUUCUUUCUUUCUUUCCUUCUAUUCCUUUCCUUUUUUUUGUAUCCUUACCGACGUGUUCCACUUAUCGAUUACCGAUCGAGUCUGUCCAUCGUGUCAACCUACCUGCACAGAAGUACAGAAUCCUGCAUUUCCUGUCUGACAGUGGAGGUCGGUAGCAAAUUCAGUAGUGUGGCACUAAAAGGGCUCGACGAUAAAUCACUUGGGCAAAUUCCUUAUAAAGCACUAAGUGCCGCGAGGCGUUUGAAAGGAUCGUGGGUCAGAACGCCGGGAGUUAAACAGAGAUUUCGAGGAGGAGGAAUAAUAUAAGCUGGAUCAAGCAAAUUCUUUCCUGGAGAGGGCCAUUCUCCGGGAUUCGAAGGUUAAACCUUAAGAUUCAUUCCCGUGAAUGAAUAUCUUUUUAUCAUAAUGAGAUUUUUUAUAGAGAAAAAAAA